AGCAGUCGCCGCGGUAAUACGGAGGGUGCAAGCGUUAUCCGGAUUUAUUGGGUUUAAAGGGUCCGUAGGCGGAUCUGUAAGUCAGUGGUGAAAUCUCACAGCUUAACUGUGAAACUGCCAUUGAUACUGCAGGUCUUGAGUAAAUUUGAAGUGGCUGGAAUAAGUAGUGUAGCGGUGAAAUGCAUAGAUAUUACUUAGAACACCAAUUGCGAAGGCAGGUCACUAAGAUUUAACUGACGCUGAUGGACGAAAGCGUGGGGAGCGAACAGGAUUAGAUACCCCCGUAGUCCCUGUCUCUUAUAC
rnacentral:rRNA from 1 species